AUAAAGACUAUGAUUGGGAAGAGUAAGUAAUAUAAAUGUUUUAAAGAGAGUGGGGUUAGGUGAGAACCCGCAGACUAAAUAUUACCGAAAAUCACCCUUGAGUUGCAAGCUGAAUUCUUAGUAAGCUAAGCCGGCAUGUCCGUUAUGAUUUUCAAGUAAGUAUUUGGGUGGUACCGCGAGCAGACUUCGCCCCAUAA
rnacentral:ncRNA from 1 species